rnacentral:rRNA from 1 species
UACGAAGGGGGCUAGCGUUGCUCGGAAUUACUGGGCGUAAAGCGCACGUAGGCGGAUUGUUAAGUCGGGGGUGAAAUCCUGGAGCUCAACUCCAGAACUGCCUUCGAUACUGGCGAUCUCGAGUUCGGGAGAGGUGAGUGGAACUGCGAGUGUAGAGGUGAAAUUCGUAGAUAUUCGCAAGAACACCAGUGGCGAAAGGCGGCUCACUGGCCCGAUACUGACGCUGAGGCACGAAAGCGUGGGGAGCAAACAGG